GGUUUGUAAUAUCAUUCUUAACUUUCAAUAAAAGUGAAUGUUUAACCUAGAGGGAGCGGUGGUUAAGGGGCGGGGUUAUGUUAGGUGAUAUGGUUUAGGUGAGGUGUAUCUACGUAUGUUACCUGUGUGUUUGUGAGUCUCUGUGUUCACUUGUUUGGGAAAGCGCACAAGCAGGAGUCACAAUGGAUUGCGGUUCAAAGAAGAAGGAUAAGGGAGAGUGCAAAGACAAGUCUGGAGGUAAGGACAAGUCAAAGAACAAAGAUGGCAAAGACCACAAGAUGAAGGACAAAAAGAAAAAGGAAAAGAAGGAGGGGAAAAAAUCAGGCGACUCAUCUUCAUCCAGCAGUGACGGGGAAUGAUGCUUCCUGGGGGACAGGACUGCUCUUAGUCUAUUAUGAUGUUAUCUAUUGACAAAAUGACUGUAGUAGUUCUUUUUGUUCCUGUCCUUUCAUUUGUGUCAUGAAAACAUGGUCUUGUGUAAACAAAUCUGCUGAUUCCUAGAAAUAAAUGUUCCGACAACAAAAUGCCUGCAGGUUGUUUUUUUCCCUCAACUUCUUAUGUCAAGUAAAGUGUGUUUUCUUCACC